AAGGCUUUAAGUUAAUACAUAAACUAAUAACCUUCAAAGCUAUAAAUAAAGAUUAAAUCUCUUUAAGCCUUA
rnacentral:tRNA from 1 species